rnacentral:rRNA from 1 species
AGCGAACGCUGGCGGCAGGCUUAACACAUGCAAGUCGAGCGGGCCCUUCGGGGUCAGCGGCAGACGGGUGAGUAACACGUGGGAACGUACCCUUUGGUUCGGAAUAACGCUGGGAAACUAGCGCUAAUACCGGAUACGCCCUUUUGGGGAAAGGCUUGCUGCCGAAGGAUCGGCCCGCGUCUGAUUAGCUAGUUGGUGGGGUAAUGGCCUGCCAAGGCGACGAUCAGUAGCUGGUCUGAGAGGAUGAUCAGCCACACUGGGACUGAGACACGGCCCAGACUCCUACGGGAGGCAGCAGUGGGGAAUAUUGGACAAUGGGCGCAAGCCUGAUCCAGCCAUGCCGCGUGAGUGAUGAAGGCCUUAGGGUUGUAAAGCUCUUUUGUCCGGGACGAUAAUGACGGUACCGGAAGAAUAAGCCCCGGCUAACUUCGUG